UAUAUACUCCCUCCGUCCGAAAUUACUUGUCGGAGAAAUGAAUGUAUUUAGAUGUAUUUUAGUUCUAGAUAUAUCCAUUUCUAUUCAUUUUUGUGACAAGUAUUUUCGGACGGAGGGAGUAUGGU
rnacentral:pre_miRNA from 1 species